GCACGGCGCACGGGUGCGUAACACGUGGGCAAUCUGCCCUUGAGUGGGGAAUAACCCGCCGAAAGGCGGGCUAAUACCGCAUGACAUUCCACGGUCUUCGGAUUGUGGACUCAAAGUCCACGCUUAAGGAGGAGCCCGCGGCCGAUUAGCUAGUUGGUGAGGUCACGGCUCACCAAGGCUAUGACGGGUAGCUGGUCUGAGAGGACGACCAGCCACACGGGGACUGAGACACGGCCCCGACUCCUACGGGAGGCAGCAGUGGGGAAUUUUCCGCAAUGGGCGAAAGCCUGACGGAGUGACGCCGCGUGGGGGACGAAGGCCUUCGGGUCGUAAACCCCUGUCAGAGGGAAAGAAGGGUCACGCGGUGAAUACCCGCGUGAUCUGACGGUACCUUCAGAGGAAGCCCCGGCCAACUCUGUGCCAGCAGCCGCGGUAAGACAGAGGGGGCAAGCGUUGCUCGGAAUCACUGGGCGUAAAGGGCGCGUAGGCGGGAUGGCAAGUCGGUCGUGAAAUCCCUCGGCUCAACCGAGGAGCGUCGGCCGAUACUGCCGUUCUUGAGGGAUGCAGAGGAGACUGGAAUUCCCGGUGUAGCGGUGAAAUGUGUAGAGAUCGGGAGGAACACCGGUGGCGAAGGCGGGUCUCUGGGCAUCUCC
rnacentral:rRNA from 1 species